rnacentral:lncRNA from 1 species
CCUGGAAAUUCCAUGGGUUUUGUGCAAACCCACCCACAGCAGCUAUAAGGUCACAGUCCCAUGUGGGGGUUCACCAGAGCUCAGGUUCUGUGAGCUCUCUGCUCUAACUGCAGAAGGAAAUGGCCCAGAUAAUUUAUGUUAUUGGCUUCUCUCGCAUUCUGGGUUUUAAAAAUGUGAAUAAUUUCCUUGGUUUGCUGUCAGCAUUUCUUUAGAGGCAAAGCAUUCAGGAUAAGCAUGUGUUGUAAACCCUGACACAAUUUUUUUAUGUCAUUUAAGUGCUCAUUCAGCUUUCUCAGAACACAGACCUGCAAAUCUAUUUGUUAAACAGGACAUUAUUUUUAAGACUUAUUGUGGCAUAUUAAAAAGGCAUCAAUAUAAGCAAAAGAAGAUAAAUUAAACAAUACAUUUAAAUACUUAAAUUCACUUGUACCACAAUUGAGUAUUUCCCAAAUUAUACCACAUGCUGAUGCAAUUCACUUUAGUUUUUUGAAGAAAUCAAAUUUCAGCUGGAAAAGACUGAUUUGCUGAUCUUGUGUGUUGCUGUUAUUUCAGAUUUUUGUCCAAGUGUUUUUACCAGCUCAAGCAAUGGAAAACAAUAAACUGAAAGGGUAAGAUAAGCAAACUCUAUUUCUUAACUCGAGCACUGCUCAUGGUUUAAGGGAAUGAAUGAAUUUCUAGAGAGAACUCUGCUCUCACAACAAUCACAAAUUGUGCCCAUCUCAUGUCAAGGAUUAUAGUUUCCUAUGAUUUCAGGGGAUCUGAUUCUGUUAUAGAAAUAAAUCCUGGCUAAAAGGAUAAUGCAAAGUGUGGCACAGUCCAGCCACAUUUCCUGUGCAGGCAGAAGAGAAACCCAGAAUCACUGUCCUGGAAUGCACCGAAACCUCUCAGCAGAGUUCCUGAAAUAUUCAUGAGCAUUAAGGAAACAGCAAACUUUUGGGGAGUGUGCUAUUCAGCUGGAACUUGCUAUGUUCUGUCAUGCUCUGAGCUCUAAAAUUACCAAGGGAAGGCUUUUUGCAGAAAGUAAAUGAAGGAACAGACACUUGGGAAUUUUAUCUCCUGGCUGGCACAGACCACACAAUGCUGAAUAACUCAGCUCCUCAAUUACUCAUCCUAACUGGGAAGAUUCUGAUGUGUUUGCUGGUGUAGAUCAGUGGGGAGCUCAGAAUUUUAAGAAGAGAUUUACUAAGCGUGUAAAUUCUUAGUAAUUAGUAGAGGAAACACCAAACUGCCUUUUACCAACUGAAUUUACAUGAAGUGAAUGACUAAAUUUACAUUCACCAGCUGAUUUACAUGAACUUCCCAAACUGCUCCUGUGUUUUUGUUCCUUUUUGGAAAGUUCAGAGGCAAACACUUUUUGAUGGAGGGAGGGGGGAAAAAAGAAGGAAAAAGAGGAAUAAGAAUCUUCAGCUGCAGGUAGGGAACACACAGCAGUGCAGAAGUUUCUGUCACCACUUCCUAUCCUUUCUCUGCCUGGAUGUGGAUCUGGGGAUUGGAUUCUGGGGUUUGGAUCUCUGAUUGGGUUCUGGGGCUCUGUGACUCUGUGUGAAUUAGUCAGAUUGAAGAGGGUUUAGGAGCAUGGAAACAAAAACUUCACAUGAAACGCUGGGAAUAAGAGACCUCUGAUGAAAUGUUUCUGUGUUUCACGAAGACAUAAAUAUUUGGGGAAUAGCAAAAGGACACAGCUUGGCCUGGGCAGGCUGGAAGCAUUUACCUGAUUAGUUGGCAGCAGUUGCAAAGACUUUUCCUUGGCAGCAGCCGCAGCUCUCCCCAGCCCUGGGCACAGGAGUGGUCCCUGCUCCGUGCUUGUGAAGCUGUUUGUGGUGCUGCACAGGGGAACCAAGGCACGCUGCAGGGAAAGAGAGGGGAAAAGGGAUGGGGGGAAAUUGUUUCCAGGUGGAGCCUCAGACUGUGUUGCAUUCCCAGGCUGGGUUGCUUCAGGCAGAACUCAGCACUUUGUCCUGUCUGUGCACAGCACAAACCGAGCAGCAAUCUGGCUGGGAGAGCCUUUUUUGUGUUGGAAUGGGGAUGGGGAUCUUUGCUUUUCCAGCUGGAUCGAUUUCCCAUCCGGUUCAGCAAGAGGCUGUGUGAAUUCUUGUGCAAGUGGGGGAACGGGCUGAGGGAGGAAUUCAUCCCUGUCAGAAAUACACAGGGGGUGCUGGGUGUUGGUGAUUUUAGUGCUUCUGGCCUGAUUCACAGCAUGGCUACACCAGAGUCAGGCAGCUUUGCUUCUUCUCUGUGUACUCAGAGAUAAAAUCCAGGAGAAACUGCAAUAGGACAGGAGCACAACCUGUUCUGAGGCAGCAGGAAGCGUUUCCCAGGGCAGGACUAUUUCUGGCAACACUCUCCCAGCUAUUGAUCACAAGUCUGAUGCUGUGAAUAACACUCUGAUCUGGAGUCUGUCUGCAACUGCUAUUUUUGUAGGUGUAGGGACUUCUUUUGGAUGCAGAUAUUUUGAAAAACAGCCAAGCUUCCCACACUGUGCUUAAUAAAAUUAUUUGAAUAUAUAAUAAUGUCAAGUUGCAACAUUGUGUGGUUUCUGAGAGCUUGUCACUGUCUCAGAAGAUUUGGCUGAUUAGAACAUUUAAUGAGAAGAAUUUGGCAGAGGGCUGGGACAAGAUCAUUAAAGUCCCUUCCAACCCCAAACCAUUCCAGGAUUCUGUAAUUUCAUGAAUUUAGGACAUGGGGAAUUGUUUACAUGUUAAAGUAUAUAAUUUAAAAAUGAUAUUUCAUUGCUAUUUUGCCAUUCUGCACCUUUGUUUUCAAUCUCUCUUUGAUUUGCAAGGCCAGUUCAGGACCACUUCAGCCCCAGUCUGUGCAGAACAAGCAUUUACCACAGAGCUCCUCAUGCCAGGAUAAUACAAUGUUGGGAAUAAGCAGUUGGAAGUGAUAAAGGUGCUGUAUCUUGAGUCGGUGCUACCAUUGAAAAAUGUCUCACAGAACAACCUGGGAGGAGGGAGUGGGAAAAUCACAUGGAGGUGAGCUGAAUGACAUGGGGGAAGAUUUUUAAAUCAGCAUUGCCACUGGAAAAAUAUUUUUAUGCAUUUCUACUGUAUCUGCUGUGUCCUCAGGCUCACAAAAUUUGGCUGGGAAGAGCUGAAAAGGCCUGUUUGUACUCAGUAUUUUUCAAGCUUCUGUGAUUCUCUGGGCUUAUGUAUCUUGUACAUGCAUAUGUCAAAAUCUCAUAUUUUAGUUAUUUUUUCUUUUCUUAUAUUCCUACUAGUGAGGACUUGCUGGACACUAAGCAGGCAUUGUUUAAACACUUCCCCUGCAACUCCACUGGGAUGCUUCAAUCUGUCUUGCUAAAGAGGAAAAAGAGAUUAAUCAUUCUUGUUUUGUGUUUUUUAUUCUGAAUGCCUAAUUCUGACAGUGAAAGCAAUUUGUGGACCUCAGCUGUGAUGCAGACACUUUCCUCCAGUUGUUUGAGUCAUACCCACCUUAUUUUAUCCAAGUUUUUCGAAAUAACUCUCUGAAAGGUCAGUCUUAGUUUAGUAAUUGGGAUUUGGGGGGUUUGGUAGGAACACUCUAGUUCCAAAUCAUUAACCUGACAUGUUAUUCAAGGAAGGAAAAAUCCCUCCCCCUUUUCUCUGGCUGCCAGAGUGGAGGUGACCCUGUCUGCUCACCUGUUUGCCUCUCUGGAGAGGUGAGCAAUGAGCAGAAUGUGCCUGAAUUCCUUCUGGACAGGAGAGCUGAGCUGGGGGGAAUAAUUGACUGCAGAUACAGACUGACAAUAAAUUAGCACACCCCCAAGAGUCUGGAAGGAACAGAGGAGGAGCAGUGAGUCAUUCCUGAGUCAUAGAGCCUCCCUGGAUUUAUCCUGGGAUGAGGUACUGCACGCACCACUCCUUGAUCUGGUCUGCCUCGAAAGGACAACCCUGAAAAUAAUUGUGGAAAAAUAAAUGCUAGCAGCAAUCAUUCCUUGGCACCAGCAGGCUUUAUGAUGUUUUGUAAGAGCCUCCCUGUAUCAGGGCAGUGUUUUGAUAAGAAAUGGUGGGUGAGAUGCAGAGCAGGUUGGUUUGGCUGCUCAGGCAGGCUGCAGUCAGGGGCUGUCCCAUCAGCCCUCUCAGCCCUUGGCAGGAGCUGUGGGGGCUCUUUGGGGAGGGUUUUGGGGAUCAGUCAGAAAUCCCUGCUUGGUUCAACAGGCAGCACAUACUGUGCUUUUUUUUCUCUCCUCUUUUCUGUAAAGAUUGUGCCAGCUGGGAGCUUUUUCCCUGCUCAGCACUGUGUGAUGCCUGAGGGCCCAGGGAUGUCCCAGCCCUGGUGUGCUCAGCUCCCAUUCCUGAGGGCAGAGGGAUGGAGGAGACCUCUGGCACAAACAAAUCGUCCUUCAAUCAAAACCAGCUGGGUUUUGCACUGGGUGGGAACCACCACUGGGGAAUACCAAUGGUACCAGGAGCUUUCCCAGUCCAGCAAAUCUCACAGAAGGGAUUUAUGCCCUUCCUGAAUUCCUUGUUCUAGGAGCAGAUGUAUGUGGAAAGCCCUGCAACCUCCUGUGCCUGGGGCUCUGCUUCCACUCUGAUAUUCCAAGGAUAGCACUCAUUAGAAUUUUUGGUGAGCUGAAAAAAUUCCCUGUCUGGCAAGGAGCUCUCAGCUGUGCCAGAUAAAAACUGUUUUUCUGCUUGGUUUGCAGCUGGAGGGGCCCAAGCACAAGAUAAACUCCAGGAAUGCAGGGAGGAGGAGGAAUAGUUCCUCCCUCAGUAAGGAUCUAUCAGAUCAGGUUGCUCCAUCUCUGUAACUUCACCCUGAACCUCCCACCUUGUUCCAAAUUUGAAUAGGCAACAGGUUAAUUAACACUGAACAGGCUUUCAAACUCAGGGAGGGACCAGCAAGUUAAACAACCCCAGAAACUCAGCUGGGGGUGCAAAUGGACUGGGAGAGCUCUGAUUUCUCCUUCUCUAAGAGACCUCUUCGGGCUUAUUAGAUCUCUUUCCUUGUGAAAGUUUUAUGAAUCUUAAGUACAUUUAAUGGAUCUGUCUUGGCAGGGGUCUGUCUUAGUGACAGUUCUAUUUUAAAGAUGAUGAAUGUCUGCUGUAAAAGUUCAUUUUCCUUCUUCCUCUUGACUGAGAGAGGUAUUGAUAAGACCCAGAAGAUGAAGUCUUCAGAACUAAGUAUCAUAAGCUUUAGAAAUGCUUGUAAAUUAAUAAAUUUCCCUAUUCCUAUUUCUUUUGCACACACCAAGAAUGG